GGUGGGCGGUGUGGUUUCAAAUUUCGAGCCACACUCUCCCGGCAGCUCGUCCCACUCGCCCCGUUCAUUCCCCUCUCCUCUCUCCAUUUCCUCCCCGUCGGUAGUUCCCGUCGUUGUCGCCGAUGCACUCAGCGAGGGAGAGCCAGAGGGACCGCGCGACCGAAGGUGGGGGCUCGCCAGAUCUUCCGGUGGCGCAGGUAAGGCCCUGUCACUUGGAGUAUUUUGCCGCGCGAGGUCGAGAUCGACAUCUAGGUCUAGGGCAGGCGAAGAGGGGCCACACAGAGGCGUUGUUUCGAGCUUUGGAGGUGGUGAGGACGGCUACGACGGCGAGGCACGUGACGACGGUGAGACGUCCUCAUGCACGAAGAGGGGCUCAUGGUGGCGAGUAGUUUCCGGUCGCGCUGAGGCGUAGUUGAAGGGGCCGCGAGAGGUUACGAGGUAGGCGACAACGUCAAGGCUGCGGAGGAGGAACGGGCGACCUCCUGUGGUCGUGUUAGGGGAGCUCCGCGAGUGAAAUCCCGUCCCAUUGUGGUCAUGUGGUCGUGAUGCCGCCAUGGGUGACCCCUUGUGGUCGUGAUGUUCAUCUGAUCUAUGUAUAGGUGGUUGAUUUUGGUUGAUUUCUUCCUCGAGAUGUGGAUUGGUUGUUUGAUUUGUGAUUUUGCUCAAUUACCUGAUGAUUUUUGAUCUUCUAAUGUGCAACUAUGAUGUUUUGUGUGUGCAAUUUGUUUGUAAUAGAAGCCAUUUUCAUGUUUAAACUUAGGCAAAUUAAAUUGUUGGCAAUAUUCAGUUUGUUUGGUGUUUGUGUUUGUGCAACUAGGUUUCAUGGGUUGUUCAACUAGUUUUAUGUUAUUGCGCAAUUUAUUAGUAUGACUAGCGUAGUAUCAGUUUUCAUUAUGUUGUGCACCUGAGCUAUAUAUACUACAAAGCUGGCUCUAGUCAAUCUCGUUUGCAAACUAUGAAAAUAGUUUGUUUUGCUCUAGUGUGCAACUAACUAGGGUUCUCUGUGGUGUGCAACUAGGGUUCUAUGCGGUGUGCAACUAGGAUUUUCUUGUCGUGCAAUUUAUAGCCAAUGUGACACUAGUCAAUGAUAUAUUUUUUUGGUUUUCAGACUGAAAUUUCUGUGUAAUAGCUGGCUUUAGUAUGCAUCUAGGGUGCUAUGAUAUGCAACUAGAGUGCAGUAGUUUGCAACUAUGCUUCAGUAGUAUAACAACCAAGAUGCUAUAAUCUGCACCUAGGCUAUAGUAGUAUCUCAACAUAUGUAUUCACUGAACUCAUUUUGUGUCUAUUUUUUACCAAAAAAUGGAUGGCAGUGAAGGGGAGGUAUUUUUCAUUUAUACAUGCUUUUGUUCUUUAAUUUUAUUUAUGUUUUGUUCCUUCCGUCCUACACCUGACCAUGAUUAUUUUUUUGUCUCCCUUUUUGAUCAACAUAGAGUUCAGCUAGUCACAUUGGAUGACGGAACUCAAAAAGACAUGCCGUGUGCAAACCAUCCAGUGUCGAUAAUGACACGGAGGCACAUGAUGAUCAGGUUGCUAAAAAAUUCUAUUUAGUAAAACGGAAGAGACGCAAGAUGUCUCCAACUCAAGGGGAAGUUGGAACAACAACUGCAGUACCUAACAUUGAGAUCGGUCAAGAAGAUCCCACAAUUGCUGCAGAGAAUGUAGAUCGCCCAUCACAGGCUGGUAGGCUAAGGGCUUCCCGAGGGAGGUUAGUCAAGCUAAACAAGGCGUUGACUCCAUCCCAAAAGUCAAACCUUUGUGGUAGGCUGUUUGGUGGUCUUCUAAACAUAGCUGACACAUUGCCUGCGGAGCUCACCAAGUUCCUAGUUCAGAGUUAUAAACCAGAAACUGGAGAAAUGGUCUUUCCAGAGAGGGGGGAAGUCCGUGUUGAUGUUGAGAGUGUGUAUAGGGUAUUUGUUGUGCCAAAAAAGCGUCAAUGCGUCAGAUACUUUGCUGACAAGGAUUCUAUCAAAAGUUUUAGAGAUAUGUUCAACAUCACUGGCAAUUCCCACCCAAAGGUGAAUGAGUGGAUCUAGGGGACUAAAGGAUGGAUGGAAGAACUGACGAUAAAUUUUUCAUAUCCUGGCUAGCUAUUGCUUUCAACACAUUCCUAGCCCCCACAACCAGCUUGAAUAUCAGCCCCAAGUGCUACGGUGUUAUCCUAGAAUCAGAAAUGCUCGAUAAUACCAACAUAUGCCUCUUUGUGGCAGAGCACAUAAACGAACAAUGCCGCAACAUGACCAAGGACAAAAAGAAUGUGUGUUGCUGCCUAUAUCAUUUGGUGACGCGCUUGCUCAUGAUGUGCCUAUUAUCAGGUGCCCCUUACGAGCCAAUGCAUGGGACACCAACCUUAUGAACAAGUUGAAGGAGCAGUUGAGAGGUAUAGAGCAGACCCCACUUCUUGGUGGUUUGUUGCAAGCGGAAGCAUUUAUUUCGUCCAAGUUACCGCAAUCAUACAACCCGCAUAAAAGGGUGAAGAUUGCAAAGUUGGUACAUGAGGUAUGCAAAUCGAUGACUGAUCAGCUUGACAAGUUCAUAGAAGGUAUUGGUCAGAUUGAUGAUGAGGAACCAGAUGAUGUACCCCCUCUAGAGCUAAAAGGGGGUAUCACAAAAACAACUCGUGGGGGUCAAAGUAAGAGAGGCGGUCGAGCAAAAACAAAACAAAUAACAGAGGUCCGUGAAGAAGAUGAUGAUGAUGAGUUAGACGAAGAUGAAAAUACCGCAGAAGAAGAGAUGGAAGGGGAGGAGGUAGAGGAGGAUGAAAAGGAGGAGGAAGAGGAUGAUGAAGAUGAAUAGGAAGAGGACGAUGAAGAGAAGGACGAAGAGGACGAUGAAGAGAAGGACGAAGAGGACGAUGAAUAGAAGGAGGAAUAGGAUGAUGAAGAGGAUGAUGAGGAGGGGAGGCGAGAAAGAGAAAACGAAAUAUGGCAGUGACGAUCGUGAAGACUUUGAUGACCACAAUGAGGGCAAGAAGGGUACUGAAAAAAUGGUGAUGAAGGAAGUGGAGAUGAUGAUGAUGACAUGGAUAACACAGAUGAUGUAGUACUAUAUGGAGGAUCAGAAAGUGACAAGAAUGACGACGAUGAUGACACUAAUGGUGGUGGCCAUCGUACUAGUGGCCACACUAAUAGGGACAAAGAUAACAUUGACCAGGAUGAAAGCAGUAGUAAGGCAACUAGCGACAACACUGCACUUAAAUGGUGGAUGGAAAAAUACUGUUGGAAAGAUGAUGUUUCAAAAUCAAAGAAGAAAAUUGAGGCACCGCCAGGGGAGGACAUCAAUUUGUUGGAACUUUGCGAAAUGAAAGACAUAUUCAGUGAACCUCUAGAUGUGCCAAAUAUUGACUCUGGUAACAUAUUUGGAAGAUCCAAGAGGAAUCUUGAUUACGAUAUGAUACUUGAAUUAGAAAACCAAGAGUUUGAUAUGAAGGAGACAACAAGGGCUUGGAAUUUUUUGGGUCAAAGUCAUCAUACAAAAAGUUGUUGGAUAGCAUCACUAUACCCCCUCCACAUCCCGAAAGCAACACAAUGACUGGUCCCGUACCGCUUCCACCAAUGGCCAAAAAACAGAAAAAUACUGUAUUGCCCAAGAAGAAAUUGCGGUUGCCUGAAUGGAAGGAUGAAGUUUCUAAGCAAAAAACGUUGAUGGAACCUUCAACUCAAGUCCAUCCAUUGCCAACCGCACUGUUGGUCGCGCCAGGUGCAGUACAUUCAGAGGCAACCUGAUUGCAUGCCAAUUGUACUGAUUAAGGGCAUUAGCCAUUAUGGAGUAAUUAUUUAUAAGGGGGAGGAUCCAAAGAGAAAAAAGGUUGUAAAUUUUGCAAAGGUCAUAAAGGGAGAAGAGCUAACAAGGAUUGCAGAAAAGGUAGUUGCAUAACCCAAAUUAACAAGCAUUGAGGAGGCACCAACUCUUGGCACACUUUCUCAGACAGUAUUGCCAACUAAAGGAUCUUGCCUGCCAACUGAUGUGCAAUAGAGCGCAACCCAUGCUGAUCUCGCGCCAACUCAUGCGGGAACCAAAAGUGUUGGUUUCUCAGGAGGAACAUUAAUGAGUGCCCAACCUGCUCCACUACCAACUUUUCAAGCCACCCUCUCACAACAGGAGGUUUUCAAUAUUGUGAGCAGAUGCAUGCCACCAAGAUCUCCAUCCAAAAUUCUGUUGUGUACAAAGUUAGCUGGAGAUGCAGAGGAUGUGUUGCAAGAACAGGGGAAUACUGAUCAACCAUUACGUAGAUCAAGUUCAACAAGUUACCAUGGGGAUGGGUUCAUUGAUGCCCCAUCUUUUGUGAAUGCUACACAACCAGAAACAUUAUUGACACAAGGAAAGGCACCCCCUCCAAUGAGUGCAAUUGGUGUUGAUGAUUGGGACACAACCACACUAGAGGAGACAUGUGUUGCAGUUGACAUGGUUGAUGCAAGUAAGGGGAAAACUUAUCCAUUGGACGGCAGCGUGUCACCAGAGUUGCACACACCUGUUGCUGCAGUUGGCGCGGAUGGUUUAGGAAGUAGCACAUCAGGACCACGCGUUCCACGACGAAUGAGGAGGGUAAUCCAACCUGGUGUUCAACAAAGAUCUCCAUUUAUUGACUACAAUAGGAAGAGAACAUUCAAUUGCAUUGAAACAAUGAACAAGUUGUACGAUGUAAUUUUUUAUUGGGUUAGGCACAUUCCUGGGGCAGACGUUCCAGUUAUCAGCCCUCAGAUCAUUAACUAUGAUGGGUUUUACAUUACCCUAAAGGAGUCAGUGCAUUCCAUGAAGCCCAAACAAUGGUUAUCAAGCAUGGUUAUUGAGAUUGGCAUCUUCACACAAUCAAGAACUUACCACCAGGCUCAAAGAAGGUCAUCAUGCCAUUAAGGGUUGCUUCAAAGCUACAACAAGGCAUAUACAAUGUCUCUCAUAUUAUUAAGAAAUUUGAGAAGUCAAAUCGCCUUGACAAAGAAGACAUGGUCAUGCUGCCUGUGCUCGAAUGAGACAAGAAAAACCAUCCUGAUGGUGGCAGGCACUACUGGCUGUUCAAUAUCAACUAGAGGGACCAGCGUUUCGAGGUGCUCAAUUCAAACCGAAGGUUAGAGGAUGUCGAGCUGAUGGAGACUAUCUUUACCAUUGCGGGGGCAGUACGCAAUUUGUGAAGGAAAAUUAUCCAAACGAGAAUAUUGAGGCCUUCCAAAUUAUUGACAUUGACGUACCCAAGCAAGUUGGCAAAUAAGUUAAUAGUAUAUUCUCUCUCUUA